UCAAAGGUGUUUUUGUUGAUUACUCACACACUCAAAAAGGGUACCGGGUGUAUUUGCCUUGUGAGCGGAAGUAUGUUGUCUCAGCCAAUGUCACCUUUCAUGAGGACUCGAGAUUUUUUGAUGCACCAUCUUCACCGUCUAUGCCCCUGCCAGAAGUUGUGCUCACGACUAUGCCUAUAUGUCUCGGAUCUAGCAUCUAACAACAGUCACCUUCACAC
rnacentral:lncRNA from 1 species